rnacentral:rRNA from 1 species
UACGGAGGGAGCUAGCGUUGUUCGGAAUUACUGGGCGUAAAGCGCACGUAGGCGGCUUUGUAAGUCAGAGGUGAAAGCCCGGAGCUCAACUCCGGAAUUGCCUUUAAAACUGCAUCGCUAGAAUUGUGGAGAGGUGAGUGGAAUUCCGAGUGUAGAGGUGAAAUUCGUAGAUAUUCGGAAGAACACCAGUGGCGAAGGCGACUCACUGGACACAUAUUGACGCUGAGGUGCGAAAGCGUGGGGAGCAAACAGG